rnacentral:misc_RNA from 1 species
UACGAAGGGCCCGAGCGUUAAUCGGAAUCACUGGGCUUAAAGGGUGCGCAGGCGGGCUUGCAAGUACCUUGUGAAAUCCCAGGGCUCAACCCUGGAAUUGCUCGGUAGACUGCAAGUCUUGAGCCCGACAGAGGCCGUCGGAACGCUAGGUGGAGCGGUGAAAUGCGUAGAUAUCUAGCGGAACGCCAAAGGUGAAGACAGGCGGCUGGGUCGGAGCUGACGCUCAGGCACGAAAGCGUGGGUAGCGAACGGG